AACGAACGCUGGCGGCAGGCUUAACACAUGCAAGUCGAACGCACCUUCGGGUGAGUGGCAGACGGGUGAGUAACGCGUGGGAACCUACCCAAUAGUACGGAAUAACUCAGGGAAACUUGAGCUAAUACCGUAUACGCCUCGGGAAGGAAUUUAUCGCUAUUGGAUGGGCCCGCGUUGGAUUAGCUAGUUGGUGAGGUAAUGGCUCACCAAGGCUACGAUCCAUAGCUGGUCUGAGAGGAUGAUCAGCCACACUGGGACUGAGACACGGCCCAGACUCCUACGGGAGGCAGCAGUGGGGAAUAUUGGACAAUGGGGGAAACCCUGAUCCAGCCAUGCCGCGUGAGUGAAGAAGGCCCUAGGGUUGUAAAGCUCUUCGCUAGGGAAGAUAAUGACGGUACCUAGUAAAGAAGCCCCGGCUAACUUCGUGCCAGCAGCCGCGGUAAUACGAAGGGGGCUAGCGUUGUUCGGAAUUACUGGGCGUAAAAGCGCACGUAGGCGGAUUGUUAAGUCAGAGGUGAAAUCCCGGGGCNCAACCCGGAAACGCCUUUGAUACUGGCAAUCUAGAGUCCGGAAGAGGCUGAGUGGAAUUCCGAGUGUAGAGGUGAAAUUCGUAGAUAUUCGGAGGAACACCAGAGGCGAAGGCGGCUCACUGGUCCGGUACUGACGCUGAGGUGCGAAAAGCGU
rnacentral:rRNA from 1 species